ACGCGCGGGGUUUCGGAUUUGGUGGUUCGUGCGCGAAGAAAUCGGAACGGAAUCGUGGGCAGUUCGCGGGGCGUGCUCUGCGUGGACUCCGGAGGAGACAGUUGGAGAAGAUGACGUGCGGGGUCCACCGGUCAGUGAGGGUGGCCGGCCGGUUCGGGCUGGGCCGGUUCGGUUCGAUCCGGUCUGGUCCGGUUUGACCGGUUCGGUCCGGUUUGACCGGUUCGGUCCGGUUUUUCCUUUUUUUUUAAUCUAUUUUCUGAUUUUGAACCUCAAAAUUGAUUCGGAGCUCCAAAUCACUCCAAAUAAAAUGCAACAAAAUUUGUAAAAUCAUAUUUUCAUAUGAUCUAACUUUUGGAACAAGAAUUUCCUCAAAAUAAAAUAUUUUAAAAAAUACAUUUGCCUAUAAAAUGGCUUUUGGGUCCCUUAGGCUAUCGAAACAAAUUAUUUUUCAAAAUACUUUCAAAAGCCAAUUAUGGGAUAGCUCUAUAUAUGCAUUAAAUCCCUUUUUACCACAAUACCCUCAUGGG
rnacentral:lncRNA from 1 species